GUAUAGCCCAGAUAAAAGCGAAAAGCCCACAGCUCUGGGGUUUAAUUUUUGCUGGUGCAUCAAAGCGACUAAAAGAAGCUCUUGAGGCGCCUUGUAAAAAUAAACUCCAGGGCGAGGACUUGUAGUGGAUAGCUGGAUGGGCU
rnacentral:misc_RNA from 1 species